rnacentral:rRNA from 1 species
UACGAAGGGGGCUAGCGUUGCUCGGAAUGACUGGGCGUAAAGGGCGUGUAGGCGGCGUGCACAGUCGGGUGUGAAAUUCCUGGGCUUAACCUGGGGGCUGCAUCCGAUACGUGUAGGCUGGAGUGGGGAAGAGGGCCGUGGAAUUCCCAGUGUAGAGGUGAAAUUCGUAGAUAUUGGGAAGAACACCGGUGGCGAAGGCGGCGACCUGGUCCUUGAC